CCUUUACCCUCUUCUUGUUUUUUAAAUAUAACUAUUAUGCUAUAAUGAAUGAUUGGCUAUAUAUAAGUCACGUGGAAAAAUUAGUUGAAAAUAAAAAUAAGCAAUUAUCAGGUUUGGAUUUUUUCAGCGAAGAGGAAAAAAAAGGUGACGACAAAGAACUAACAAGUAAUGAAGAGGAUGGUCAGUCAAAUGAUGAUAGUGAUAUUGAUAUUGAUCUUGUUAAUGAUAGUGAUGAUGACAAAGAACUAAUAAAUGAUAGUAGUGAGACUGACCAGUCAAGUGAUAGUUAUGACGACUCAAGUAGUAAUGAUAAGCAUCAAAGUGACGCUGACCACCUAAGUAAUAACAAAAAUGAUAAAAAAAACGAUGAAACUAGUGUCAAAAAAAAUAAUGUAAUAAAAAAAACGGAUAAAGCUAAGAAACUAGAUAAUGCAAAACAGUCGGAUGAAACCAAACAGUUGGAUAAAGCCAAACGAGUAGAUGAAAAAAAAAUUGACGAAAUAAGAAAAACAUUAAGUUCCAAUUGCAGAAUAAUAAAAGUAGAAAAUGAAGAAAUAGAUAUAGCAUCGUGGAACUCAAUAAAAAAGAACACACCAAUAAAUAGCUAUAUAAUAGAUAAAUUAAUAAAUAAAUUUUUAUAUACAAAGUUUUUGCCAUGUCAAAGCAGCACACUAGAAUAUACAUUGUUAUAUAAAAAUGGAUCUAGCUCUAUAUUAAAUGGAGAUAUAUAUGUUGAAGCUCCAACCGGGUUAGGUAAAACCUUAUGCUAUGUGAUACCCAUAUUAGAUUAUUAUUUAUCUCAAAAUGAUGAUACAUUUUUUUGUGUUAUAUUAACACCAACUGAAGAAUUAGUCAAACAAGUAACAAACGUAAUUAGAACGUUUGACAUAAAAAAUUUGAUUGUUUGUACUAUAAAAUCAAAAAUGUAUAAUACGAAUAUGUGCUUUGAUGAAAUAAAAAAUGAAAAUGAUUAUGAUAAAAGUUAUGUUGAUACAUGUGAACAAUAUUUUGAGCAAAAAAAUAUUUUAAUAACAACAACAACUAAAUUUGAAAUGUUAUUUUAUAGUAAUCAAAAUAUUUUUAGAAAAUUAAAAUAUCUUAUUAUUGACGAAGUAGAUAGUAUACUAAACAUGGAUUUUGUGAAUAUAAAUGCAGUGGCCAAUGCAUUAACGAAGCUAGUACACCAAACCGAAAACGGCACCGAACUUUGUAGUACUAGUAGUAAUAGUUAUCCAAAUACAAAUGAUAAUAAUAUUUUGUAUAAACCAAAACAUUUCUUACAAAAAAUACUACUUUCAGCUACUAUUUGUAAAGUUUCAAAUAAAUUGUUAUCUUUAAAUUUAUAUAGACCUAUUUUUUUUUACUAUAUAUUAAAUUAUGCAAGAAAUGAUGAGUUCUAUCUUCGUGUUUCCAGAAAAUAUAAUAAACUAUGUAACUUAAUUCAUUUAAUACAGGAGACAUCACCAAGUGGUAAUAGUUUUGGCUUGCACGCAAAAAAAAAAAAAAAAAAAAUAAAAAAAAUAAAAAUAAAAAUAAAUAUGUGUUUGUUUGUUUGUACUGAUGUUGUACCAUACGUUUGUACUACUUUUUUUCAUAUUUGUUGUGUCAUUUUUUUUUUUUUUUUUUGUUUUUUUUACUCCAGGUGACAAGAACAUACUAAUAUUUUGCAACAAGGAAGAGACAGUCCAUUUACUUUUUCGUUUCUUGACUGUAUACUUCAGUUAUGUGGAGAAAAGCUGUUACAAAAUUAAACAAUACAGUUAUAACUUAAUCCAAAAAUUAAAAAAACACACACUAAAUAGUUUUAUAUUAGGAGAAAAUAAUAUACUUAUAGCUACCGAUAAGCUAUCUAGAGGUGUAGACACAAAAAAUGUAAAUUGUGUUAUCAAUUACGAAAUACCAAAAUACUAUAACACGUUAACAUAUAGAGUUGGGCGAAUGACAAGGUAUAGCAUUUAUAUUUAUAUGAGUACAUGUUUAUAUGAGUACAUGUUUAUAUGAGUGCGUGUUUAUAUUUGGUGCAUGUUUAUAUUUGGUGCAUGUUUAUAUUUGGUGCAUGUUUAUAUUUGGUGCAUGUUUAUAUGAGUGCGUGUUUAUAUUUGGUGCAUGCUUUUAUAGACACACACAUAUAUAUAUGCAACAAUUUUUACCACAUACAUACACAGGGGGAAUAACGUAAGAGGAAAGGUGUAUCAUUUUAUUAAGUCCAAAGAAUUUUCAUUAAUCAAACGUUCAGCUGAUCAAAGAAACAUUAGUAAAAUUGAGAAAUUAGCAUAUGAAAAAGCAUUACUAAAAAAAAUCAGAUCAUCGUUGUCACAUAUAAAUGAAUUAGUGAAAAUAGCACUAGAACAAGAACAAAAAAAU
ensembl:lncRNA